rnacentral:lncRNA from 1 species
GCUGAUAAAAUUAUUAAAGGAAUUAAACUCCAAAUGCAUAAUGUCAAUCUCACUAUCCUUAAACUCUUGUUAGAAAUUGAACGGUUGUACUUUCAUUAGUUAAUUACAUACACUAUCUAAUUUAGGUACCAAAAAAUAAUUCGCACUAAGUUCAAGGAUCUAUAUCAAGCUAGCAGCACUUGAAGGUCUGCAAGCAGCAGAUGCAGAGAGCAUAAUUUAUGCCAAGUUUGAAGUGGUUGUAAGAAAACCAGUACUUAAAAUUGUAAUAGACAUGUUCCAAAACUAGCACAGGACCAUGCAAGAAAAUAAUAUGAAAUGAUAAAUAUGAGAAUCAAGGAGCAGUACGUUUUCAUUUAUGCUACCUUUUUCAAUACAGUAGGUAUUUCCUUUAGGGACAGGCGGGAGGAUGGAGUGAGCUGGUUAAGCUCUCUAUCAUAAACCAAAUACGUUACUCUCAAAGCCAAAUAUCACUUUUUAAUGCAUGUAAAACACUACCAAUUGGCAAAAGGUUGUACAUAACAUCUGCCCAACUGCAGUUGUAAUGACAACAUGACUACUUCUAAAUUGUAAUUCAUCAGCCUCAAAUACACCUGAUUGUUCUAGCACCUAAUCUUAUAGAACAAAGGGAGACAAUUAUUAUCUAGAAUAGAAAAUUCAAGAUUUUAAACUUAUGAAGUUUCGACGAACAAUAAUUUAUUUCAUUAUAUAAUAAAACAACAAAAAUUGUCAGCAAAACUAAAAAGUAGCAACUAACAAAAAAAACAUUUGUUUUGAAUAUAAUGUGUAGUUUAUAGAUUUAAUCUUUGUAAAAAACUUUCCAUUAUGAACGUUUUGUGCUCCACUAACACAAACUCGAAAGUGAGAGAUUUACAAAUCCAGCAUCAUAACGCCAUCAACUUCAGUUCUAAAAAUUAUGCUCUUUUUGCAUGAGAUUAAUUGAAACGGGCUUUUAAAUUAGCAUAUACUAAAUUACAAGCUAAAGAACAUAGAAACUUGUCAUCAGCUAGUAAAUUACAACGGGAAUCAAAUCGAAAUGAUAGUUUUUCUGCAACAACCUUGUCUUGCGAUAAAAUUGAAAACCUCAAAAAACUUAGAUUCCCUAGUAGCUUUCCACUAAAGGAAUCAUAGAAUACUCAAGAAUGUUCAUAUCGUGAAGUUCAUCAUCAUAUUUCACAAACUUCCUAUUCCCACAACCUGAGGUUGCAUUUAGAGUUGGGGAUUAGAAAUGCGAGGAUUGGGAAUACCUUAAGCCCAGAAUGAGACCGUAUAGAAUACCUCUCUAUUACCAUUAUUUAAACCAAUGCUACCACCAAAAGUGUUAAUUUGAAGCCCACAACAACCAUGAUAAUGACAAACUUCUCUAACAGAGUGUUCAACAACUGGUCCCCUAGAAACAAAACUGUUAAACUGGUGAAUCACAUUAAAAGGAAUGUGAAAAUAUGGUAGGGAGUGGAUUGAAAGUGAAAUAAAACACCAAAAUAACUAGAUAUUAUCGACUUCCAAUUCCCUGGACCAGAGUAGCAUGAAUUGCAAACAAGUAGUCCAAUUCUGCCACGUAAAAAAAAACUAGAAAACGGUUAAGAUUACCAUUUUUUUAUAUAAAUUAACAGUAUUAAAUAAAANAAUUUAAAGGUCGCGCCACAGGGGACUCGAACCCAAGACCUUUGGCCUUAGGCACUAACCCCUUAGCGCUUGACCAACACAUGCGCACAGUUAAGAUUACCAUUGUUCCUUCAGCGUCUUGCUCAUUAGCCUAGUCUUGAAGAAACCACGUGGCACUUCUGUGAUCUUCCACGUCCGUCUUCAAGUCGAGGAGCUCAAAUAUCAAGCUCUCAUCACGCGUUGGAUCAACAAAAACCUCCUACAACAAUAAUAUUAGUAAUUAAACAUAGCCGAUAAAACACAAAUGGAUAAAAGAAAAAUCAAACAUUCACGAAGUGUCCGACCCGAUGAUCAGGAACUUGGCGUAUGUUCGCACCAUACGGUAUGGUAUACCGAUGAUCAGGAACAUUCACGAAAUGUUCCGACCUGACCCGAAAGAAAAAAUUUGGUCUAGUAUACCGAUUUUUUUUGCCAUAUCAUAUACCGUACCGUGAAUUGCGGUAUGAGAUUUUUCAUAUCGCUACCUUACCAAACUCUUCGGCAUAUUGAAGAUCGGUAUACCGAAAAAAUUGAUAUGAACUUUUUCAUACCAAUAUCAUACCAAUAGUGCGGUAUACCGUACUAAAGUUCGGUAUAUCAUAUUUUAUGGUAUGCCGAAAUUAUUGAUAUAUCAUUUUAUGUCUAAAUUAUCAAAAUUUUACGGUAUACCAUAUAUCUGUACACACCAAAAUUACAUCAAACAAAUAUAAUUAUGAAAUAAAAAUAUAAUUUAUCAGUAACUAUAAUAUAUAUAUAUAUAUAUAUAAUUUAUUUCAAUCGAUACGGUAUAUAGGUAUUUAAUAUAUAUCGGUAUCGCGGUAUCCAUCGAAAUAUUGAAAUAUAUAAAAGAAAAGGUAUAUACCGCGGCAUCGGUAUAUAUCGGUAUACCGGGGUAUGAGGAAAAUUGAUACCGUUAUCGUACUAAAGUUUUUCGGUACAGUACCAUGUUGUACCAAAAUUUAUGGUAUACCAAAAAUUCGGUAUUUUCGAUACGAUAAGUGCGGUAUACCGAUUUGUCGAUAUUUUGGUCCACCCCUAUUCAAGCUUGCCUCUCGGCUUCACUCUUGAUCGGUCCGCCAUCUGAAUCACCAUCGAGGUCGCUUGAGAUCUCCAAUUCUCAAAUGCUUAAAAACAGAGAUGGGCAUCACAUUGACACUAGCCCCUAAAUCACAAAUAACCUCGGGAAAGAGCUCUCUGCCAAUCUCACACUUAAUGGUGAAGUUACCUGUAUCUUUCUUCUUCGAAAGUAGCUUCAUUGGCAGUUCAGUGCACAAAUCUUUUUUUGGCUUAAUUUUCGCCCCCUCAUCUUUCUCCUUGUCAUCCUAUAGCUUUGAAUAAGUCUGAGGCUAUGCACGUACGCCGGUCCGAUUCUUGGAGUAGUCUUUGCAGAUCUUCCACUAUAUGCCUGUACUCUGUCGUCUCAGGAUUAUCAGCUUCUUUCUCAUUUUUGCUAUGGGAAAUCUCCAGCUUUGUUUCCUUGGUGUCCACCUUUUUGUGCAUCUUUACAACACAUUACUCUUCAAGCGCCUCCCUCUUCAUCAACCUACGGGAGAAUGGAGCCUUUAGGAUGUACUCCCUAAGUGGAACAUGAGCCUUGUAUGGUUCCUCAAUUGGACGUUCGUGCUCCUUGCUCAUCUCCUCACAGCUUGCCAGAGAGAUUUCAAUCGUCUUCUUAUCUUCUUGGGACAGAGCGCCAUCAAAAAUCGCAUUGCAUUGGCCUUUCUGCUUGCCUUCGGUAUGUCCAGGCCUAAUCUACGUAGUUGCAUGGUUAGCCAUUUGGCCAACUUUAGUUUCCAACAUCUUCAUCUGCUUUGAUAGAGCUAUUGGCCAUCCACGCACCUAUUGGGGGUCCCGGAGGGUUGAUUGGAUAGGUGUAUGAGGGGAGGGGGGAAACACCUGUAGGCUAUUUUUCGCAAAACAAAACAAACUUAACCAAAUUUCAGUUGGAAAUAGGUAGUAGACUGAUACUGAAAUGACUUCAGUAAUUUGACAUCAGUUGAGUGUAAAGCUUAAUUGAUAUCUACGUAAGGCUUCAGUCUAGAGUUUGCAAAAUAGAGUAGAGUAAUAUACACUAACUAUCAGUUGAAUCAUCAGUUAGAUUAAUAACUCAGCAGCAGAAUUUAAACUUAGUGCGAAUAGCCUUUAGAAAAGGUUUGUCACUGGUAAAAUCCUUAAUUACACUUUUCAGUUAAUCCAGUUUAGUUGAAAACAGUUUUAGCACAAAGAAAGUAAUAACUGAAAGCAGAUAAAGAACACAAGAAUUUUUACGUGGUUUGGAAACAACAUUCUUACUCCAUGGCCAAACGAUUUGUCUGACAAACACUCUAGGCUAAUGCAUAUAGGUGCACAGUAAACCUACCAACCCACUCUGAGUUGGAUUUCCCUCUUGGCUUACUAGGUGCCAAGGAAUCGAUCUGUUUAGUUUUCCUAGUACUAAACAACCACUCUUGGCUUAUCGGGUGCCAAGGAACCGAUCUGUUUAGUUUUCCUGGUACUAAACAACCACUCUUGGCUUACCGGGUGCCAAGAAACCUAAAUGUUUAGAUUACCUGGUACUAAACAACCACUCAAACACUCUUUUCUCUCGGUUGAAAAAGGGUUUGGACUCUUCCAACUAAGACUACUGAGAACAGGCUCUCAAGUAAUCUAUUCUAGGCUUAAGAUAAAACAAGAAAUGCCUAGAUCAUUAAGAGAGUUUAGAUAAUCAGCUAGACUGAUUUUACAACAAUUAAUUACGCUCUUCUUCGAUUCAAAAUUCUAUCUAUGGAAAUGUUGGCUCGUGAAUUUGACAGAGCUUCAGCGUAUGUCUUCGAAUUGGUCCCCCCCAGAUUGAAGAUGUUCCUCGAGCUCUAUUUAUAGGUGAAGUCCCGAUUAUAUCCGUUGGAGAGAUGGUCUUAAGGAUUUCGGCCGUUGUGAGACAUUUCGUGCUUUGGGCUGAGGCUUCAAUCUGUUUGGCUCCAAUAUGGUUAAGAGUUUGAAUUCUCUUUGUCCUAGGAGUUUGGUGCGUCUGAACUUUAGCACCAAAAAGGAAAGUUGGUGUACUGAAAAUGACGAUCUUCAUAUAUGAUGCAUUUAAUGCUGUUGCAGGAGUAUUUAAUGUGGAUGUCUGAGCUUCAGUCCGAUGAAGAAGAUCGACUGAUAUAACUUUCAAGAAUCAAUUGUGCUUUCACUACUAUAAAAGUUUACAUACAUAACAGUGCAUACACAAUGGUUUUUGUAAAAAUCGUUAUCUAUGAGCGCACUUUUAGGAAUAGAUUACGGUUUGAUAAAAAUAUGUUAUCUAUGUAGUGUUGUCUAUACGAAUACAUAACGGUUUGAAUUAAUUCGUUAUGUUUAUGUGUUAUCUAUUAGUUGCAUACAUAACGGUAUUACAAAACCGUUAAGUCGACCGUUAUCUAUGAGCAUCUUUUUAUAUCGGUUAUUUUAACCGUUAUAUAUGAAUGCCUCAAAACUGUUAUGUAUUAAGUUUUUUAUAUUUAUUAUUAAUUUUAAUAAUAUUAUAUAAAAUUAAAACCCUAAUUACCUAAUACACAAAAAUUCCCUCCAACUUAGUUUCACCCAUUCCACUCCACCCAAUCCGCCGCUGAACUCCCUCUUACGGCCACACCACAUGUCCGACCACCACAGCACCAGCCCAGCCGCCUUCGUCGCAGCGCAACACCACCGCGAGCCACUACAGAACCGCCGCCCCUCCCCAUCUCCUGGCAUCUACACAAGGCGGCUUCGUGCGCCACCAUCGUUCCUAUCACGAACAUCGAAGAAAAGCCACCAGCCGGCGCGAUUCACACCAUACCAGCAGCGCCAAACAUCUCCUGCCACCAUCUCCCGCCGCCCAGCCACCUUCGCCCUUUUUCCUGUCACCACCGUCAGUUUCCAGACACUGCCGCGCAGCCCCAGCUCUAAUCUCAAUCGCGCUGUCUGCCGGCGCGAGCCCUGCCCCUCCUCCACCUUCUUGAUUCGCAUUCAGGGAAGUUUGUUUCUUCAUUUUUGUGUUGUUCAAAUCAGGACUUGAUUUUUUGCUAAAUUAGGGCUCAAAUCUAGAAAGAGGCUCCCCUAAAUUGAUCUAUAAAAGGAUUUAAAUAGAUUGACGCUAUUAAGUUGAGACUCGAGCAGGAGUGCCUUGCAAUUAUGUCUUGUGCUGAUAUUGUAGUUUUAUCAGCAAGAGUGGGUGGAGAUCAGUUCUCUCUCUCUCUUUCGCCAUUUCCUAUUCUCUGUAGUAGAGAAUAGUUUCAAGGUCUACUCUCAAUUCCUCUUUGUUUUAUUUUGUCCGUGUUUUAAAAUGUGUGGUGUUGUAGAAUUAAUGGUGCUAAUGGAGUUUUGUGUGAUGGUAUUUUGUGGUUUUAGGGUUCAAUUUGUGAAGUUUGUGUUAACUAGAUUUUGCUUACAGAUUAGUCUUUGUAACUAGGAAUAUGAAUUUAUCAGCAAUAUUAUCCUUGAAGAGACACUAAACUGAAUUGAGGUUGCUGGGAGUUAUAAGGAUUUGAUGAACAAUAUUUGUCUCGGUAUUCAGUUUGCUCAGUUGGGUGAUCUUAUUUGUGGUUUUGAGUUGUAGUAUUUUCUUGCUUGGUCAUAAAAGUUUGCAUUUGAAGGAAUGGUGAAGUUUUAUGGCACUUAGUUUAUUGCUUGCUUCAGAAACAGGUACACAAACAGUUGGUGGAAGAAAACUCAAAAAGCUGAAGCCCCCCAUCAACCCCCUCCCCCACCCCCCGAGCAUCUCCAAGACUAGCAGGCUUAGGGGAAGGCCGAGAAAGGUGAAUCCACAGCCAUUUCAGACGGGAUUUGAAGCCUAAGAUGCGUGCUGCCCCUUUUAACAUAGAGGUUUAUGUGUGACUAAGUCAUGUUAGGUGUCUCAAAGUUGUUUGAAUAUGAAUGAUUAUUUGACACACUUUUGAUGGGAAAGAAAGAUCUUAUAUAUAUAUAUGCAUUUUAAAGGUAUAUCAGAUGACAUUUAAUAAAGGUAUACAUAAUUGAAAUCAAUGAGUUGGUUAGUCAUCUAUUUUUGAUAAUGUUAGUAAUUAUAUGAUGCUACCAACAUUGGACAGGCAAAGCUACAGUGGUUAUGGAAACGAGUGGUGCUGGAAAAUCGUGAGUCUUACAGUUCCAUCUCAUAUUCCUCUUCCUCUUGUCAUUACUUAAGUUCAUCUUAAUUAAUUAUAGUAAAUUUUUGGUGCACAUCUAUUGGGAAGGAUUUUUGUCCAAUCGGGAAACAAUAUCAGGUCUGUUUAUUAAUUUGGUUUGACACUUCAUACUAUUUGUCAGGAAUUACAUUUGUUAUAUAUCUAGGGGAUUCUUGAGCGGGAUUCUUACACAUUUGCAGGCUCUGCUAGCUGCUCUUGCUGUUAGUCUAGUCAAGUUAUCUCAAAUUAUACAAUUGGAAUCUCUUCGUUCAGAAAUAGCUUCUUUAGAAGAAAGAGAUUCUCACUUUAAAGCUCAGUAAGAAAGCUUCAUUCUGCAUUUUAACUUGCCUACUUACCCACUAAUUUGCUCCUAGAAUGUCUUCUACUCUCUUCAUUUUUUUAUUAUAUCUUAUGUCUUGCCUUCUUUGAUGUAAGCCCAUUUGAUGUGCCUUCAAUGUCGACUUUUUAUAGUUCAACAAAAUUGUAGAGAUUGUUCGAAUCAUUUAAGCUGGUAUGUUAUUGUUUCUUAUGUUGGUGUUUGAUUAUUCAUAACAUUUUCUGAUUACGUGCAAGUCCGACUUUUUGUUAGCUAGAGCAGCUUAGGUCAUAUAGGUUUCUCGCUCUCUUACUGCAUGUAAAGGAGCUCUUACUUGUUGUAGAUGCCUCCCAGGUCCUUCUGGAUUCUUGAGGUAAUAGUCUUUUUCAUUAAUCUGCUAUUUUGGUCUCUUUUCAAUUGAUAAUAUUCUGCUUUCUGUUAAGUUGGAUUUGAAGUCGGCUUGAUGUUACAUUCUGAACAUCAUGUACUGCCAACUCUUGAUCAUUAACAAUAUGUUGAGCAAUAAUUUUUUGGAGGAAAAUUAUUCUUAAUUUAAAUAUACCCUAUGUUUUCUGUAUGUGAAGAUGGUGAGCACUAAGAUGGAAUGAAAAGAAGAUGUAACAAUUUUGACUUCUGAAUUUCCUUUGGCUGCACGAGUUAGCUACUUUUAGAUGCUAUAUAUCAAUACUUUAAAACAAAUUUGUGGAUUAUUGGUUGCAAAAUUGAGAUGAUGGGUUGGAUAAUAAUUUGUCCAUAGCAUAAGAUGAUAUACAAAGGGCAAUAAUCAUGCUUUGGUUUCAUUAUUAUCUUGUGCAUAAUAAUUUGUCCAGUAGCUUAGUGCAACUUAGACAUUCCUGCUUUGGCUUCAUUACUAUCUUUCGCCAUGUGCCGAGUGCAGGUUGACAGCAUACUUGGCGCCCGUGGCGAUGCUUUUGAGCAUGAGGCAACUAGAAGAAUGCGUAAUGAAUUUAUGGUAGCUUGGGAUGGCUUGAGGUCAAAAGACAACCAGAGAAUCAUAGCAGGUUGAUUAACUAGUUCUUGAGGACUUGGUGCUAGAAACAUUGAAUGAUAGAUUUUUGUUUUAGCUAUAAGGUAGUUGGUAUUUUCAAUUUUGAAUCGGAAUAUGCAAUGAUGAUGUAUACUUGAUAUUUGGUUCAUUUGUAUAAUAAUGUAUGAAUAUUUUGGAUGAUAUAUAAUAUUGUUAUUGUUGAUUUUAUCAUUUUGUCGUUUUAUAAAAAUUGCAAAAUUUAAAAAUAUACUACAAUUAUAAAAAGUGCAAAAAACUGUUAUAAAAGGUGUGAAAAAUCGUUAUGUAUUCUAAUCAAAGAUAACGGUUAAAAUCGUUAUAAAAACUGUAAAAAUCGUUAUAAAAAGUGCAAAAAAUCGUUAUAAAAAGUGCAAAAAACCGUUAUGUAUUCUAUCAAAGAUAACGGUUAAAACCGUUAUAAAAAGUGCAAAAAACUGUUAACUAUGAUUAAAAAAAUAAAAAAAAUUAUAAUACAUAACGGAAAAAUCUUAAUACAUAACGGUGAAAAACCGUUAUGUAUAACUUUUAUAGAUAACGGAUGGGUACUGUUAUGUAUGACGCAUCGUACCGUUAUCUAUGCUACUAUACAUAACGAUUUUAAAACGUUGUCUAUGAUACGUAUCAUAGACAACGCCACUAUACACAACGGUUUUUUUGCUCAUAGAUAACGGAACAAAUUCGUUAUCUAUGAGCGUUUUUCUAGUAGUGUUUUGUCCUUUGCUUGACCAGUCGUUGACUUCUGUUCAGUUAUCCUUUGUAUCACCAGUAUCUUUCCUCAGUUGUUCGAUCUUCAGUUGAGCUUUGAUCUUCAAGGUCUUCAGUCUUUAGUUUCUUCGGUCUUCGUCAUCAAGAAACACACAACUCAACAUCGGGCAUCAUGCAAAUGACUUGAGAAAUUAAAAACAGAGCCUGGACAAAGAGUUGUUGUCAUCAAGUUGAUGGAGCAAUUCUUUUCUUAUAUAAUCUUUGAGAAAUUGAUUAGGUAUCAUUUCAAAAGAGCAUACACUGCACAAGGCAGAUACAGAAAAGCUAAAAACAUAAGGACAAACAUAAACUCAGGUUUGUGCUCUUGCUCUCCAUCAGUCUGCUUGUUUGGUGUUGAUCUCCAUCUUCAUCUUCUUGUUCCUGUGCUCGCUCUCGCACUUGCUCUCCAUUGACUCGAGGUUUUCUGGUUGAUCUUCCUCCUAGUCUUCUGGUGAUCCUACCGCUUCACCAGCUUCAGUCUAUAAAGGCUUUUUCUUUGACUUUUCUGUUUUCCCAUUUUUGGCAUCAUCAAAAGGGUAGAUGACUGAUGCUGGAAGGCAUGAUCAGUCAAUACUCAACUCCAUUUCUCUGGCUGUCAGAAGCCCAUGAGAAGAUUCGAGGGGAGGUUGAGCAGAUUGGCUUGGACAGAAGGAGGAAGAAGAGGCUAAGGGAGAUGAUGAGGGAGAGUAAGAGGAAGAGGGAAAUGGAUAUGGGAGUGAGUAUGCAGAGUCUAAGGUGAAAGAAGUAGGGCAAAUUGUGGCUCUACAUACGGAUGUGAAGAAGUCUCAGGACAAGUUGCCUUCGACUUCUUCGCCCGUGGGAAGGGUAUGAGAAGGAAAGAUCGAAUCAGUGGUAGUCGUGAGGACUAGCACUGCGGAUUCGCCUGCAUCAGGUCUAUAAUGAGAAGACCAUGUGCGGCACGGAGUCCUAGCAUACAACGAGGAUGCACUCGUCGUUGCUGAUGUUGGAGGUGGUGUGCAAGUGGCACAAGGUGAGUUUGAAGACCACUUGAAGCAACUUUUAGUUUUAGUUACUUCAAGUUCUUUCCUCCAGAAGCACGUUAGCUUCUUAAUGAUGUGAAUUACGAUGGAAGACACCCGAUUCCCUGGAUCAAAGUGGAAAAGGAAAUGAGCUUGAGUUUGGAGACGGGCUUCAUUCCAGUUGAAUGGCCCUGUGUGAAUCAGAGCAGCUAGCACCAUUUUCCUACUGUAUGAAGUCUUUGUCCUUGGUUUUCCCAUAGUUGGAACAAGAAAUUUCUGCAGAGGGAGAUUUUUCUCACAGAGAAGUCUGUGGAAGAUGAUUAGUAGAGAUGAAGAAAACUUGCAAGACUAAAGCAUUUAAGGAAAAUGAGGAGAAGAAAAUUACUCGGUUCUUGUGCCUUAAAACAUUUUUAAUGAGAUAUUCACAUCCGCUGUCACUGUGGGAGUGACGAGUGCUUCAAAAGUAGGAAGAAUAUAAUCAUUAUUCAUUGUCAAAUCAGUGGGAUUUACAAGAUUUACUGCAGAGGCAUGUGAUCUAAACAGAAGAAAGAGCUAAUUUGACUAAGAAAAUUCUUCUAAUUUUUCAACAAUGCCAAGAUAGGUGACUUGUGAGUAUAGUAUAGCAUUUAAACUAGUCGUCAGUCAUAAGUAAAGAAUAAAAAUUGAUAAUAACAAUUCACACAUCAGUUGUUCAGUUAAGUUAUCAAAAUGUUUAAAGCAGUUGAACACAUGGAUACUUACUAAUCGACUGAACAUUGUAGUUAGGCGAUACCUCAUUUUAGUUAACUGAAUACUUUGAUUCCUCCUUAACUGUAACUUAUCUCCUUGGUGGAUACCUCUUCGGAAAUUGAAGAGAUAAUGGAACUUAAGUAAUGGGAAAACUGAUGAGUUAUCAGUUGGAGAAAUUACGAGGACAGUAUACUCCUUUCAAGAUAACUGGUGAGAUAUCAGUUUUUGGUACAAGGCGGACAUUUGCCAAACAAAAGAGAAAGUGUUUACACUCCUAAGCAACCAGCUAAAGCUUUAGUAGGUAGAUGUCAUAGACCGCUCUUUUGAUGCCAUUGUAAUCCUCUGGAUGUUUCUUUUCUGUGACUUCCCAGAUUCUGCGUAGAGCUGCAACCUCAUUUCUGACGAUCUCUUUGUCGAUGCUCUUGUGCUUUGGAGGACGUAUGAUCUCAGAAGGAAUGGGAUAGCUGACAUCCUUUCUCUUUCUUUUGCUUCUAGCAAUCUAUUCACCAUCUUCUGCUCUGUCCAAUUGUUCAGAAAGUAUACCCAGGCUCGUCUUUGGAAUUCUGGAUCUCGUUGAAGAUUGGCAAAGAUUAUCCAUUUGGUAUAAAUUUCUUUUAGUCUUGCCCACCAAUCAUUCAUGUCUUCAGGUACCCAAUUAUCUUUUCGAUCGCAAUUAUCCAGAUAGGAUACAAGAAGACCUUCUUUGAUAUAGAACUCCAGUAUUUGUCACUCUUGGAGUAUGAAGGUGGGAUGAGGUGGUGCAGGUUCAGCUAGUUUUAGUGCCUUCUUUGCUCAUGGCACAUGUUCUCUUGUCUCUUGCUCUUCAGUUCUGGACCUUUUCCAGUGUUCUCUGGACAUGGACGAAGCAUGAGGUAGCUCUAGUGCAGCGCCGACUGAUCCGAUUGAUUGUUCAGUACCCUAGAACUCUGCCUUCUUUCUAUCAACAUCAUCCAUGCGAAGUGGAAGAUCUUGAAUAUCAUUGAACAUCUUCUGGAUGAGUGAGGAGUUGUGAGAGUCACGGAUGACACUAAGUUCAACUUCCAGUUGUGCAAUCUGUGCGUUGACGGGUCGGAGUUCAUAUAUGAUCAGCAUCUUUGCAUCAACUUUAGUCAGGAAUCGUUGCAUGAGCUCAGUGUGAAGUUUGUUGAGGUUGAGCUGAGCAUCCAUCUGCAGUUGCUUGACUUGGAGUUCCGCGAGCGUCAAUUGGUCUUUAAUGACUUCAAUUAUCUUUUGAAUGCUAGGAACAAUUACUGACAUGGUGACACGCACCCGUCGUGCGGUACGAUCAAAAUACCUGUGUAUGCCCCAGACGGACAGUACACGCUCCUACUUCUCGUAACCAGAAAUAAGUCUUAGUAGCAAGUAUAGGGUCGAAUCCCACAGGGAGUGAGGAACCACUUUGUUCUCCAACGACAAACUGAGGUGUCACAUGUCUCAAUCUGUAUACUUUGCACAAGAAACUAAACAAAGAUCAAUAAUAACAAAGGGGUGAGGUUUUACGGUUAGGUUAUAACUGUUGUCAAUAUUUAUUUCGGUCAUAGGCAUACUGAUGAUCCGUCCAUGAUCCAUAUAGACUCAAGGCGUGGCCCAAAGACAUUGGGGUGUUUCAAGAGGUUAUACUUCACACUUAGGAUGGUUGAGUCAAUUGUAGUCACUUGGUCCGAAGGUCACAUAUUUCCCGGUCACAAGGCAGUGUUUCACUCCUCCUUAGAUAGUAGUCACACCUGUUACUCACCAAGUAUGACCCUCACCAACCUUCUCUCCCGAGGUCCCCAACUCUGCACUGUGAGUGACACAUGCCUCCUGGACACAACCAUUUUCGGCUUGUCAGCCGACCAGUCAUAGACAUGCUACGGCGCAGAAGUUACCUUCCUCGUUUGAUAACCAUGGCUUAAUGCCUCGUCACAGUUGAUGGGUAGUUUCUAGAGAAGCCCAAGACUGAGGGAGGACAGUGUAUCCCAUCAAUCCUUUCCUCAUCUUCCGGAUCUACAACGCCUUUUGUUGACGCUGCUCAGCUACUCGGUCUUGGGUUUACCGGUUGUCACGCCCUGGUAUACCCUGGCCUUUGCUUGACACGGACAGUGUUUUACCGAACGGAGACCACCCGUUAGGCCCCUACUAUCCAUGGUUUGGAACAGAUCCUUCCGGAACCAUGAGACUCAACCGAAAGAACAAAUGUCUCACGAAUGUUUACAUAUUGACAACAAUUAUUUCCACCCCUUAAACCUUACCAAGAGAACUACUCACGCAUAGCAGUAAAUAUGAAUGCAAAAUGAAAUAAACACAACAUAUAACAAAAAAGGAAUUACUUGAAUUAAUGAAAGAGUACCUAAGGCCACGAGACUUAAUCUUGUUCCUUGCGUGAAUUGAAAAUGAAAGUAAUAAGUACUGGAAGUGUAAUUUGUUUUGAUGCCACAAAUCGGCAGAAUUCAAAAGUAAUAAACUAAGCAAAAGUUCAAUGGGCCAAGAGCUCUCUACGCUGCACAUCUCAAUCCUUUUAUAUUGUCAUCUGGUGGAGGGCUAACCCUAGCUGUGCAUAUGAUCUUCAAAUCUUCAGCACGAUCUUCUUUUCUUUUCUGGCUCCAUUGUGAAUGAUUUGAUUGAAGAUUCGGCUGAUUAUUUCCUUCCGCAGCAGAUUAGGUUAACUCAUCUGUCUUCUGGAUCCUUCUACCUCCUUCUUCAUUCUUUCCAUGAUCAUCCUUCUCAUCAUUAGAAUUCACUGCACAAUCUGGCAACUGCUGGGUUCUCCUGUUGGUAGUGAUCAGAUGGAUUGCUUCUUUCGAUUUGAUCCAUACCAGGUGGGUUGCUUCGGGUUCCCAUACCCCAAGUUAAACUUGAGAGGUACUGCGCCUAGGCUCCAUGCUGGUAAACAUGAUAUUGCAAUCUGGGCUGGUAAUGCCCAUUCCGACCACAUUUCCUUCAUUUUUGCUCUACAUGACUGUUUCCCCAUUAUGACUUGGUUUCCCCCGAAAGGACCUGAACUGACACAAACAAAGGAGAAAAAUAGGGCCAAAUGGUCCAAAAGUCGAAGACACAUCACACCUACACACUUAAACCAUACUUGCCCUCAAGUAUGUGGGUGGAUUCACGAAAGACACAGACGAAAAAGAGAUUGAAAGGAAGGGUAGACAGCUUAGUCAAAACCACAAACCAAAAAGUAAUGAAUAUGCAUAAAGUACGAUAGUAGCUUCUCUCUCACUCAAGUAUAUAGCUAAAUGUAUACACUCGUGCUAUGCUGUGCCAUUUUUUCUAUGAAUUUGAUUGAAAACUACAAGUAAAACAUACUAGCAUGACUCAUCAGAGGGACUUUCAUUUGGUUGUAGUGGGGCAUACGGAGCAGAGGUGAGAUAUGUAUAGUUAAGUAGUUAAUUCAGUAUCACCCAUACCCAGCAUGUGUGCUCAGUAAGAUCACAACCAACAUUUCAUUCCCCUGUUUUUAGUAGGGAUCAACCUUUCUUCAAUUUUUGGCAAUAUUUUCUCAUCGACUUUUUUUUUUGUGCCCAGAUUUUCUUUUUUUCCUUUCAAUUCCUUGUUUACCAUUUCAUGCACACCAACAAUUCUUUCGUUUUAAAUACAAUCUCAUCAAUCAAAUAGGCUCAGAAAAGAAUAUGUUCGGCUCAAAUUGGCAUAGCAAGGGGUUUUAUCACAUUUAGCAAAAGAAAAUUCUGGGGCACUAAGCAAAGAAAUAUGCCCUAAUCAUGCAAGUCACUACUAGCAGUAGAAGUUUUCAAACAAAGUCCAGAGUCCCUAGUACAGCAAAGCCUCACGAGAAAUAUGCAUUUUUUCACAAAUAUGGCUCUGAUCUCACUGACGGGGUUAUUAUCUGUAAGCUCACAACUACUAUCAUGCAUAUCAUACUCAUCCACCAAUUCAUACCACAACCAAAAUCAGCAUGCAUACUCUCAUCACCAUCAAUUAGCGCAAGUAAGAUUCGACCCCAAACACAUACUCGCAAGAUACUAAAACAUGAAAGAAAACAAAAGCAAAAACAAAACCUAAUCUAAAAAAAAGUUCAGGGAAAAAGAACCUAAUCAUUUUGGUCGGAGGGCUCGCCCUCCGCAUCCAGCUUCUCUUUGAUUGCCUUAAAACCAGCCUCCAUCGCCUUGAAUCCUAUUUCUACGGUGUCCCUCAGAGUUGCUACUUCUCCACCCAACAUCAACAGCUCAUCCUUGAUCUCCUUCAGCUCGACCAUCAGCGCGGCGAUUUUGCUAUUAACCAAGUGAGAUGCUUCCUGUUCCUUCACUGCUUUUUGAAUAGGCCUAACUGAACUGCCAUCCAGGUAGACCAGGCGGUAGCCACCUCUCUCAUCAGCCUCGAUGAUUCUCCAACGCAUAAGGCAUCCAAUGUCAAGGAAACCGGUCUCCGCUACAGCUGCUUCAUCUGGGGCUUUAGCAUUGAAAUAUGCGAGUUUGUUCUCCAGAAUGGUCACCAGUGGGCAUAGAGAAAGGUAUUUAUUGGUAUGGGUUACCCCAUACUGAAACUGCAUUGCCGCGGUGAACCUGAAGUUCACCAUCUUCUUCUCCGCUAUGCACCAGAGCAGGAAAAGCUCUUGCUGUGGGACCACAUUAGAGCCCUCGAUUCGUUCGUAGAUGUUGUAGGCGAACCAAUGAUGGCAUAUCUGUAGGGCAGGGUCGCAGAUUUCGUUGGACUUGCUGUUGUUUUUCACAUACUUGGCUCCUGUCGAAAUUUGGGACCAGUAGAGGUCAAUCUGACUUUGCCAUUUGGGUAGGGCCAUGGUCUCAGCCUGUUUGUACUCGUCAUCAAACAUAUCUUUAUCCUCAAUCACCCCCAGGUGGAUGUUCAAAUCAUUAAUGGAGAGUGGGAAAAUCUUUCCCCGCAGCUGAAAACGCAGGGUGCCUGGGGUUUCGACUGUGUAAUUUCCCUUUGGUUUGAACUCCACCGUGCUCAUAAACUCCUCUGACAUUUGUUUAAACGCCAACACACUCCACCCUAACACCUUCACCCAACCAAUAUUCUUAAAGUAACCUUUCACGCGCUCUCUUAUCCCAAAAUCAUCCAACACCUCAGCAAUCAGAAAAUACCAUGGAGUUAUUUCCCGGUUCAGCAGAAUAGCAUACCUCUGACUGUCCUUCGGUAUGACCACCUCUGCGGUGCUAGGACGCACCAAUCCUUUGCACUUCACAACCUUCGGCUUCGAGAUGAUUGUGCUUGUCACCGGCUUAGCAGGGGCAACAAUGUCUUCGGAGUUAGAGCUCUCCACAAUCUCAGUCUUCUCUGGCUCUGCCUCCAUUGGUAUUUCCAUCUCCUUGGCCUUUCAUUUCUCAGCUGCAGUAGGCUUCUUCUUUUUUCUGCUUUGUUCGCAUUUGGUUCUAGUCUUACUGCCUACUGGCGAUGGUUUGGCUUUGACGGGCAGUGGAGGCUUCGUAACAUCAAGUUUCCUCUUAACCCCCAGCCUCUUGCUUUGUGGUGGAGGAAUUUCUACCUCCUCCUCGGGAAUGGCCUCAGCACCCUCCUCUUCUUCAGCUUCUUCCUCUUCUUCCUCUCCUUCUUCUCCCGUAUCUUCGGAGGCGGUUUUCCCUUCUUGCAUGGAGGUUUAAAGAAUUUGCGGUGGUGGUUGAGCUUGAAUUGGUGGUAUUGGCGCGGCGACGGACCGUGCGGGAGUUGCCUUCGUUGCCUUGUCCAUUGGGGCUUUCUUCGACUUCUUCGCCGGAGGCGUAAGCUCAGGCUCCUCUUCUUCCGGCCCCUCCGGUUGUUUUGACUCAACGGCUGCCCUUGCGGUCUUCUGCUCCUCCUAUCGUAAAACUUCAACACGUCCUCUGUCCUCGGGCUGAAUAGUCAAUAAGGGGUCUUCAGUGACCUUGGUGGAGGUCUCUUCAGAGGUGGUUCGCCUCGUAGUUCACUUCGGAGAUGGUGGUUUUGGUGUUCUUUCCUCUCGGUGGUUGAGUGCUUGGACGCUAUCCCUCCUUUAGUUUUUCCAUGGUAAUUUGUGAGUCUAGGUCAUUUUUUUUUCUUUUUGUGGGGAAGUUUGGGUUUGUGGAUUGAGAAUAAGCUUGCUUUAGAUGAUUGGCGUUUGGAAUUUAGGGUUUGGGAGUGGGGAUCAUGGUGUAGCGGUUUUGAAGGUUAGGGUUUGUGGGUGUGAAUCGUGGGUUGAGGGGUUUAAAGAAGGUAAGAGUGACGGUUAUGGCAGUAUUUUGGUUUCUAAGGAAAGAAAUCAUUGGCAAAAUUUGAAUUUCAAAUUUGCUGCGGAAACCGAAGAGUUCCCGUCAAAUCACCGCCUGCCGCUGACACUCCUACGUCAGUUUCCUUUGUAAGCCCUCAGCUAGAAUAUUCAAAGCCCCAAUCCUCCACCUACACACUUUGCAACGCAAAGUGGGCUCGGAUUCUCCACUGGGCCUCCAACCGAAACUUUCUUGGCCCGACUCCCUACAAGAUUAGUGCAUCCAAACAAAAUAGAACAAACUUAAAGAAAAGAAACUUCGGUAAAGACCAUACCAAAUAACAACGCUGGGUUGCCUCCCAGCAAACGCUCUUAUUUUUUGUCUCGAGCUCGACUCUUUCUUCAUCUUUCAGUCGUACACAGGGUUGAGAAGUUGGCAUUCCUCCUUCUCUUUCUCUACUUCAGCAAGUUCAUGGUAGGGCUUCAAGCGAUGCCCAUUUACCACGAAUGUAUCAACUCCAUUGUGAUCAUACGCCCUUAUGCUUCCAUUUGAAAAGAUUUCUUUGAUCACAAACGGUCCAGACCAUUUUGAACGAAGCUUCCCUGCCAUCAUUUUGAAAGAGAAUUGAAAAGUAAAACUUUUUGUCCUGCCCAAAACUCUUUCUUCCUGAUCUUGCCAUGGAUUCUCCUGGUUCGCUCCUUAUAGAGCACAUCAUUAUCAUAAGCCUCCAACCGAAGUUCUUCUAACUCACUCAUCUGCAGCUUCCGUGUUUCUCCAGCUAGGCUCAUACUAAGGUUUAUUUGCUUGAUUACCCAGUACGCCUUAUGUUCAAUCUCCACCGGUAGAUGACAUCUUUUUCCAUAGAGCAGCCUGAAAGGGGACAUACCUAUAGGUGUUUUGAAAGCAGUUCGGUAUGCCCAUAACGCAUCUCCCAAGUGGUUACUCCAGUCCUUGCGGUUUGGGUGUAGCACCUUUUCCAAAAUGCUCUUUAUCUCUCUAUUGGAAAUCUCAGCUUGGCCAUUUGCUUGAGGGUGAUAUGCUGUAGUAACCUUGUGUGUCACCCCCGCCUUCUUGGUCAGUGCUCUGAUGGUGGCAUUACAGAAGUGAGAUCCUUGAUCGUUGAUUAGGAUCUUGGGUACACCAUAUCUCUCGAACACUUGUUCCUUCAAAAAUUCGGCCACAGUGUGAGCAUCAUUCCUUGCAGUUGCCUUGGCUUCGACCCACUUUGACACGUAGUCCACUGCUACUAGAAUGUAUUCAUGGUUCUUUGACUUUGGGAAGGGUCCCAAAAGUCAAUUCCCCACACAUCAAAAACUUCAACAGGCAUGAUUGGAAUUUGCGGUAUUUCAUCCCUUGCGGUAAUACCUCCAGUCAUCUGGCACUUUGGGCAACUUUGUACCUACUUCCUUGCAUCUGCAAAUAUAGUUGGCCAGUAAAAUCCACUUUCUAAAAUCCGGUGGGCCGUGCGCUUUCCUGCAAAAUAUCUACUGCACGCCGUUCCAUGAUACAUAUUUGGACAUGCUCAUCCUCUGGUAUGCAUCUCCGUAUGACCUUAUCUGCUCCAAUCCUCCACAGAUAUGGAUCUUCCCAAUAGUAAAAUCGGGCUUGUACCAGUAGCUUCCUCUGCUCGAACCUUGAUAAUCCUAGGGGUAACUCCUUCGUGAUCAGGUAAUUAGCUAUAUCAGCAUACCAUGGCUCCUGAUUGGUUAGGGCAUACAACUUUUCUUCUUCUGUAUGGGUGUAUACAGAGUAUAGCUUCUCGUCUGGAAAGGUAUCGGUAAUAGGCAUACCGUCAUCUUCUUCCAGUUGCAAUCGGCUCAAGUGAUCCGCUACUAGAUUAGCUGCCCCCUUCUUAUCUCUUAUCUCAAUGUUGAACUCUUGUAGCAGCAAGAUCCACCUGAUAAGUCGAGGUUUUGACUCCUUCUUGGCCAUCAAAUAUUUCAGAGCUGCAUGGUCCGUGUAGACAAUUGCUUUCGUUCCCAAAAGAUAGGAACGAAACUUUUCUAUGGCAAACACAACUGCCAAAAGUUCCUUCUCGGUAGUGGUAUAACUGCACUGUGCUGGGUUCAAAGUCUUGGAGGCGUAGUAGAUUACACAACUCUCUUUUCCUUUCUUUUGCCCCAGUACUGCCCCAACUGCAUGGUUGCUGGCAUCACACAUAAUUUCGAACGGUAGGUCCCAGACCGGAGGUUGGAUAAUUGGGGCUGACACUAACUUGCUUCUCAAAACUGUGAAUGCCUCCUUGCAAUCAUCAUCAAACUCGAACGGUACAUCUUAUUGCAAAAGUCUGGUCAUGGGCUGAGCAAUCUUGGCGAAAUCUUUGAUGAAUCGCCGGUAGAACCCUGCAUGACCAAGGAAUGCCGUAUGUGCUUUACCGUGUCGGGUAGGGCAGUUUGGCAAGAGCAAUUUUUCCUUAUCCACUUCGAUUCCCCUCUCCGAGAUCACUGCCCCAGCACUAUUCCUUCUUUUUACCAUAAAAUGGCAUUUUAUAGUUAAGAACCAGCUUUUCUCACACAUCUCUUCAACACGAGCUCUAGAUGAUUGAGACAAGUGUCAACGAGUCUCCUACACGGUGAAGUCAUCCAUGAAAACUUCAAUACAAUUCUCAAGUAAGUCAGAAAAUGCUCAUCAUACACGUUGAAAGGUUCCCGGCGCAUUCAGUCCAAAUGGCAUUCUCCGAUAUGCGAAUGUUCCAAAUCACAAGUGAAAGUGUUUUCUCUUGGCUUCAUGUGCCACAAAAUUUGCAUAUACCCGGAAUAUCCUCCAAAAAGCAGUAAUAGGCAUUACCAGCUAUCUCUCAGCAUCUGGUCAAUAAAGGGUAAUGGGAAGUGAUCCUUCCUUAUUGCCUCUUCAGCUUCCUGUAGUCAAUGCAAACCCUCCAUCCAGUUUGCAAACGGAUUGGUACCAGCUCGCCUUGGUCAUUCUCAAUGACCUGUAUCCCCGACUUCUUGGUAGACAUGGACGGGGCUACCCAUUGCUAUCGGAGAUGGAUAAAAAUUCCCAAUUCCAACAGCUUCAAGAUUUCUUUAAGUACCACCUCCUUCAUAACUGGGUUCAUCUUUCUUUGUGAGUCUCGGACAGGUUUGGUUCCUUCCUCCAAAUAGAUGUGGUGCAUGCACUCUGUUGGACUGUCCCCUUGAUAUCAGCCAAGGUCCACCAAUGGCUUCCCUUUCUCCCGUAAGACUCUGACUAGACGUUCUUCCUGCACAAGAGUUAGAUCUGCGCUGAUGAUGCUGGAAGUGUUUGUAGGACCCAAGUAAGCAUACUGCAAACUUGGGAAUUCUUAGUUCCAGUACGGGUGCCUUUACUAUAGAGGUAGAAGCUUCUCGUUCUGCCCAUACUGACCAAUAAUCUGGUCUGCCUGCUGUCCUCCAGCUGAAUAGACUCCUGGAUCAUAUCCUUGAUCUUCUGAUCUACUUCCACUAGCUUCCAAAGUGUUUCUCGGAGAGAGUAAAGCUCCAUGAUGCUUCUUUCAUUCCUCUCUCCAUAUGUCUGCAUCUCGAUGGUAACCAUACUGAAUUACUUUCUCUGUGUAUCCCCAACCAAACAAUUCCUGUUCUUGACAGGGUUCAAACACAUCGAUCAUGUCCACCUUUCCAUUCUUGUUCUCUUCAUGGUUUCAUAAUGUUGAACUCUUCUGGACCAUCAAACUCACAGUUAAGAUUCCGGUUUCAUAUCAAUUUUGGUUCCAGCGGUCAUCAUAAGCUCCCAAUAUAUACAUUCUCCGUUUCGCCGGUGUCCAGAACAUAAAUCGCUGGGAAAUCAAAUCCCAACUUAUCAGUACGUCCUCCACCACUCCGUCAGGGUAAGCGUUGGAUCUGUCAGCCAAUUGUAUGACCACACGGGUGUUCCUCAUCUCACCAAUAUUCAACCUUUUGUAAACAGCCAAUGGCAUCACAUUAAUGGAAGCUCCCAAGUCCAUCAUUGUCAUACCCCGACUUUUAAUCCCUGAUUAAGGGCUUAAUUAUUAAUAAUUAGGGUUCGGCAUCCAUUAAUAAUAAAACUGGUUUGAUUUAUCUGAUGUGAUUUAAUCGUUAUAUAUGUGUUUUAAUGUGCUUAGUUAAAGAAAAUUUUUGUAAAUGCGGUGCAUAAGUUUUAAUUGGUGAGUUAAGUGUAUUUAUAUGAGCAAGUUAUUAUGAUUUUUAUUUGAGGAUUAUAGCACUUGGAAUUUUAAUUAAAUUUCUAAAGCAAGUGCAGUUUAUUUUUACCGAGAAAUCGAAUGAUGCUGAUUUAUGGAAAUUUUUCCAAGCAUAAUAUUUUUAAAUUAUUUUUCCUACGAUGAAGAAUAUUAAAAUUGAGUGAGUGCACUAAUAUUAGUGCUAUAAUUAUUUUAUUUGGUCACAUGAUAAUUAUGUAUGGUAUUUAUUAAUGAGUAUAUUUCCAUAAUUAUUGUGAUUAUUUUUAAUCACCCUUCUCACAUUAUUAUUUUAAUUUCCCAAGCAUGUGACUAAAUACCACAAAUUUGCAAAUGGAUGUAGAGAUUGAGAGAGUGUAGAGAUUAGAGAGAGAGUGUAGAGAUUAGAGAGAGAGAGAGAUCAAGGCAUUAAUUGCCAAUAUUUGCUAAGAUUUCCAAAUAUUCUCAAAGAUCAUCUAAACCUUCUAAAAUCUUGCAAAUCAAUUCAUAUCUUUCCAAGCAACUCUCUCUCUCCAUCCUCACCAUUUUCGGCCAUCACCUUCUCUCCCUCAUCUCUCACUUUCCACCAUUAACAACCAUAGAUGAGACCUUCGGAGCUUCCAAAAAUUAUGCCAACACAUAAAUCUCCAUCAAAAUCUUCCAUAAACACAUCCUAGCUACUUAAAUUCAAGAGAAUCCUUGAAGAAGGGCUUCAAAGCUAGAGUGAGAAAGUGUGGGUUUUGGUAAGAAUUUGGGUAAGUGACCAUGUAUUCCAUAAAUUUUGCUUGAAUGAUGUUGUAUGUGAGUAUUCUUGAAAGAUUGAAGCUAGAAAAUCACCCCCUUCCUUUUUCUAAAGUUUUCGAAAAUUUGGGUCUUCAACCCAUCAAAAAAUUUUCUUUUUCUUUUCUUGAUCUGGGGUGAAAAAUGAGAUCUAAGUGAUGUUUGUUGAUGAUUGAUGUGUGUUGUGAAGUAUAUGCCUUGAGAUGUGAAAGCAUCAUGAUCAAGAAGAGGCGACAUGGGAAAAGUACCCAGAAUUAUUUCCUGUUGUACAAAUUUCGGGACGAAAUUUCUUUUAAGGGGGAUAGUAUGUCAUACCCCGACUUUUAAUCCCUGAUUAAGGGCUUAAUUAUUAAUAAUUAGGGUUCGGCAUCCAUUAAUAAUAAAACUGGUUUGAUUCAUCUGAUGUGAUUUAAUCGUUAUAUAUGUGUUUUAAUGUGCUUAGUUAAAGAAAAUUUUUAUAAAUGCGGUGCAUAAGUUUUAAUUGGUGAGUUAAGUGUAUUUAUAUGAGCAAGUUAUUAUGAUUUUUAUUUGAGGAUUAUAGCACUUGGAAUUUUAAUUAAAUUUCUAAAGCAAGUGCAGUUUAUUUUUACCGAGAAAUCGAAUGAUGCCGGUUUAUGGAAAUUUUUCCAAGCAUAAUAUUUUUAAAUUAUUUUUCCUACGAUGAAGAAUAUUAAAAUUGAGUGAGUGCACUAAUAUUAGUGCUAUAAUUAUUUUAUUUGGUCACAUGAAUAAUUAUGUUAUGGUAUUUUAUUAAUGAGUAAUAUUUCCAUAAUUAUUGUGAUUAUUAUUUAAUCACCCUUCUCACAUUAUUAUUUUCAUUUCCCAAGCAUGUGACUAAAUACCACAAAUUUGCAAGUGGAUGUAGAGAUUGAGAGAGUGUAGAGAUUAGAGAGAGACUGUAGAGAUUAGAGAGAGAGAGAUCAAGGCAUUAAUUGCCAAUAUUUGCUAAGAUUUCCAAAUAUUCUCAAACAUCAUCUAAAUCUUCUAAAAUCUUGCAAAUCAAAUCAUAUCUUUCCAAGCAACUCUCUCUCUCCAUCCUCACCAUUUUCGGCCAUCACCUUCUCUCCCUCAUCUCUCACUUUCCACCAUUAACAACCAUAGAUGAGACCUUCGGAGCUUCCAAAAAUUAUGCCAAACACAUAAAUCUCCAUCAAAAUCUUCCAUAAACACAUCCUAACUACUUAAAUUCAAGAGAAUCCUUGAAGAAGGGCUUCAAAGCUAGAGUGAGAAAGUGUGGGUCUUGGUAAGAAUUUGGGUAAGUGACCAUGUAUUCCAUAAAUCUUGCUUGAAUGAUGUUGUAUGUGAGUAUUCUUGAAAGAUUGAAGCAAGAAAAUCACCCCCUUCCUUUUUCUAAAGUUUUCGAAAAUUUGGGUCUUCAACCCAUCAAAAAUUUUUCUUUUCUUGAUUUGGGGUGAAAAAUGAGGUCUAAGUGAUGUUUGUUGAUGAUUGAUGUGUGUUGUGAAGUAUAUGCCUUGAGAUGUGAAAGUUCGAUGGAGUUUAGUUUACCCAAAAUUGGGAACUUUUGAGUCAAUGGUUAAAAUGAUUAAUAGAUGAUGAAGAUGAGUCCAUGAGAUGUAUAUGAUGAUGAUUGAUGGAGUAAAUUGAGUAUAUGAUGUCAAUUGAUGAUUUUGAUAUGAGUUAGUUUAAUAAAAUUAGGGAUAUGUGUAUCUAUGCUCUAAUUUGUAAAUUGAUGGGUUAUAUGUGAGAUUAAUUGGCUAAGAUUGAUAGACCUAUGAAUGGAUUAAGGUAUCAUGUGUGUUUAUUAAAUUUCAAAGUAGUUUAGUUUAAUAAAAAUUAGGUACUUUUUGCCUAUGUGUUAUUUAAGUGUAUUUGGCUUAAGAUAUAUGUAUUUGAGCAUGAUAUUAGUGUAUAAUUAUGUUUGAGUAAGUCUUUUGUUGGCUAAGUAAAUUUUUUGUACUUAGUUUAGUUUGUAUGAGUUUUUGUUUUUUUUUUUUUUGUGAGGUUGAUGCUUGUAAAAUGAGGUCUAAUUGCUUUAUGACUAUUAUGUGAAAGUUUGUCAUGUUUUAUUAAGAGUUUUAUGUUGAUACAUGAGUUUCAUUAGAGUUUAGUUUACAUGAUAAAAGGGAAUCUAUAUGUGUAUGAUGAUUUAUAUGAUGAAUGAGAUCUUGUUUGAGUAUUUGAGUAAUUUUGAGCAUGAAAAUGAGAAGAGAAUUUUUUUGAUGCGUUCGUUGAAAUGUUUUCUUGAGAUUUGAGUUUAUGAUGUAAGAAGAGAGUCGAGAUUGAGUAUUAUGAGUAUUAUGUUGUGCUUGAAUGUUUUUUAGUGCUAUAUGUGUUUAAAAUGAGCUUUGAUUGGUUUUCUUUGAAGGGAUGUUGGGUUGAGCAUUUAAGAGUUUGAGAUGAGAUUUUGGUGUAAUUUCGUAGGCCUACUGACCUACUGUGAUCGAUGGUUUUUAGAUGUCUAAUAGCUUUGAAAAUUUUAUAGCAAAUCCCUACAUGAGUCUUAAGCACACCGNUUGUGCAUGAAAAUGAAAAGAGAAUUUUAAUGAUGCGUUCAUUGAAACGUUUUACUAGAGAUUUGAGGUUAUGAUGUAAGAAGAGAGUCAAGAUUUGAGUAUGAUGAGCAUUAUAAUUAUAAUGUGCCUGAAUGUUUGUGAGUGUUAUAUGUGUUUAAAAUGAGCUUUGAUGAGUUUCCUUGAAGGAAUGUUGAGUUGAGUAUUUUAAGAGUUUGAGAUGAGAUUUUGGUGAAUUUCGUAGGCCUACUGACCUACUGUGAUCGACGGUUUUCAAUGUACAAAAAAAAAAACUUUGAAAAUUUUAUACCAAGUCUCUACAUGAGUCUUGAGAACAUCGGUA